UCCCCCUCAUCUGAGGGGGGGCGGUUCUUGUUCUCCCUGAGCCACCAUCACCCAGACACAGGCAGUCUAACAAGGAGGUGAUGUGUGACUCGGAACAACACCCGCU
rfam:Omsk hemorrhagic fever virus, complete genome